AUUGAACGCUGGCGGCAUGCCUUACACAUGCAAGUCGAACGGCAGCACGGAGCUUGCUCUGGUGGCGAGUGGCGAACGGGUGAGUAAUAUAUCGGAACGUACCCUGGAGUGGGGGAUAACGUAGCGAAAGUUACGCUAAUACCGCAUACGAUCUAAGGAUGAAAGUGGGGGAUCGCAAGACCUCAUGCUCGUGGAGCGGCCGAUAUCUGAUUAGCUAGUUGGUAGGGUAAAAGCCUACCAAGGCAUCGAUCAGUAGCUGGUCUGAGAGGACGACCAGCCACACUGGAACUGAGACACGGUCCAGACUCCUACGGGAGGCAGCAGUGGGGAAUUUUGGACAAUGGGCGCAAGCCUGAUCCAGCAAUGCCGCGUGAGUGAAGAAGGCCUUCGGGUUGUAAAGCUCUUUUGUCAGGGAAGAAACGGUGAGAGCUAAUAUCCCUUGCUAAUGACGGUACCUGAAGAAUAAGCACCGGCUAACUACGUGCCAGCAGCCGCGGUAAUACGUAGGGUGCAAGCGUUAAUCGGAAUUACUGGGCGUAAAGCGUGCGCAGGCGGUUUUGUAAGUCUGAUGUGAAAUCCCCGGGCUCAACCUGGGAAUUGCAUUGGAGACUGCAAGGCUAGAAUCUGGCAGAGGGGGGUAGAAUUCCACGUGUAGCAGUGAAAUGCGUAGAUAUGUGGAGGAACACCGAUGGCGAAGGCAGCCCCCUGGGUCAAGAUUGACGCUCAUGCACGAAAGCGUGGGGAGCAAACAGGAUUAGAUACCCUGGUAGUCCACGCCCUAAACGAUGUCUACUAGUUGUCGGGUCUUAAUUGACUUGGUAACGCAGCUAACGCGUGAAGUAGACCGCCUGGGGAGUACGGUCGCAAGAUUAAAACUCAAAGGAAUUGACGGGGACCCGCACAAGCGGUGGAUGAUGUGGAUUAAUUCGAUGCAACGCGAAAAACCUUACCUACCCUUGACAUGGCUGGAAUCCCUGAGAGAUUGGGGAGUGCUCGAAAGAGAACCAGUACACAGGUGCUGCAUGGCUGUCGUCAGCUCGUGUCGUGAGAUGUUGGGUUAAGUCCCGCAACGAGCGCAACCCUUGUCAUUAGUUGCUACGAAAGGGCACUCUAAUGAGACUGCCGGUGACAAACCGGAGGAAGGUGGGGAUGACGUCAAGUCCUCAUGGCCCUUAUGGGUAGGGCUUCACACGUCAUACAAUGGUACAUACAGAGCGCCGCCAACCCGCGAGGGGGAGCUAAUCGCAGAAAGUGUAUCGUAGUCCGGAUUGUAGUCUGCAACUCGACUGCAUGAAGUUGGAAUCGCUAGUAAUCGCGGAUCAGCAUGUCGCGGUGAAUACGUUCCCGGGUCU
rnacentral:rRNA from 1 species